rnacentral:lncRNA from 1 species
CCCAGGAAUUCCACUUCUACCAAUUUAUUCUAAUGAUGGAGUUGCACAAAGAUCUAGGUUGGUACUUAGACCAUAGAGCCAAUGCCUAUGAAGACUUAAAUAUUUAACAGGGAAUAAAAAAAUCUAAUACCAAGAAUAAAAGAAUAAGACAAUACUGUUAAAUGAUUCAGGAGCAUAUUAUUGUAGUUAAUAUGUACCAUGGUUGUUAUACUGACGUUUUCUAGAACCAGGUCUGCAGAAAGUAAGUUUUCACUCUUUCUAUCCAUAAAAUUGUUAAGAUUAGUUCCUGCUCCCUGCAUACCCUGCUUUUUUGACCUCUGUCUACCUCGUGGUGACCGACACAAACAACAGAGUAUUUCUCCUUGAUACAGCCACCUUCCUAUCUUAAAACCAAGGCUCCUCUGAGUGAAGAGGUCUCCAAAAACCACAUUAAUUAAGGUACUGAAUGUACUUCCCCACGCAUACGAGGAGCACAUAAGAUCAUCCAUCAUUUAAGAGCUUUCUUCAUUCACCUAUAGGAUAUCUAUGGCAAUAGCUUAACAUAAUUAUAAAAUGGACUGUGAGACUCCAAAUUCCACUGUUCUUACUCCUUUCCCCCUUGAAACUUAGGACUCCUUAGGCAACUUUCUACUCGUCUCAUUUUCAGUUCUAUUCUCUAAAGGGUUCUAAAUAAGCUUAUUUAUAAUACAGCAAAAUAAUGACAUUUAUGCAUUAGAACCAUGGUCAGCAUUAUUGCUGGAAUUUUACGGGAGUAGGGGAAAACUUUCUAGGAUGCCUGAAAACCCAAAACAUAGAAUAUGGCCUAAUGUCCGAAGAAAUGUCAUGCCAGUUUACAUUUGUUAUAUGACAAUUUAGACACCAUCAAGUAUUCUAAAUUCAUAGCAAAAAAUAAGUCAAUAAAUGAUAGAUGAUGAUGAUAAAUAGACAGAUAGACAGACAAAGACAGACAGACAGAUAGAUAGAUAGAUAGAUGGUAGAUGAUAUGUGAUAGAAAUCUUGAAUAAGACAAAUUUGAUCACUAUUUAUGUUCUCUUCUCAAAUGUUCUGGCAGGUUCUAUUAUCUUCCUAAAAUGAGAGUGCAAUCUAAUAGACAAGGACAAUUUUAGGUGAGCUUUCAAAAGGCCCUAAUGGAUCAGGUUUAUUUAUAAGAGUUUCUGCCUGAGGAUAUAUAAGCAGGUGCUUGAAGGACUCCAUUGCAUUCAGAUAUACUCAUUUAUAUCUUGUAAAAUUCUCUUUUUACUUUGACAUCACCUAAUUCUGCACCUCCUUUGGAUCCAGCAGUGGGCUCUUACUUACCUAAAACCAUCUUCUUUUGAUCUGCUGCAUCAUGCUCCACUGGAAGGAAAACCCUAAGCAAAGCUUUUUAGCCAUUCUUAUUUUGAAGAGGAUGAAGUUUCCCACUCACUGGCUAACCAUAAUUCUACUCUUAACGCUUACUGCUUUUAUCAUCAAGCCUUCCCUACCCAGGAAAUGGGGGAAUGGGGAGAAGUCAGUUGUUUCUGCAUUGCUUCCUGGCUAACUAGUGUCUUUCAUAGAGAAACCCAUGAUAAAUCUAGAUCAUUUGGAAGGUGUUAAGAAAACACAGGAGGCCCGACCUCAAGAAGGAAGGUGUCUCUUCAUGUGUUGGAGGCAGAAAAAAAGCAAAUCAUGGCCCGGAAUUCUUCCUUCCCCUCCCUAAAUUAUCAAAUCUUAUCCCAAGAUUCCAGGUCCAUAAAUUAAUGAAAGAAUCACCAUCAUAAAUUCUUUCUGAAGGAGGUAGACUAGAGAACGAAAAAAAAAAGAACAGGGCAGAAGAGAGGAAUGAAAAGUUUGAUCCCCUCCAUUUCGCCUUUGGCCAGGACUUAGCUCCAAGUGGCCUUCUAAAGCAAGUCCAGGGCAGGGAACUUAACUUUCAUCCAAGAGCAAUGGCUGGAGUGAAGAGAAGGGGAAGUUGCUGAAUGGAGGAAAUGGUAAAGUGUGGGGAGGCCUUUUGGGACCAGACAGGCUUUGCUGUCCUUCCAAAGCCAUUGCCUCAGGCCACUGCCAGCCUGACCACUGACCAGACAGCUGUGCCAUCACAAGACUCUUUGUGCUCUUCCAAGAUCUCCGUCCGCCUCCUCCAAGCAAAGGACACAAUUAUGUGAGGUUCAUCAGAAAGACACAGGAUAUAUUUUGUAUUCUCAAAGAGCUUAGAGUCAAAUUUUCCACGGUAGAAAUCUCUUUGAAAGCUACCUGAUGUACAAAAAAAUAAACCUCUCUCAAAAAAUGGCAGAUUGAAAAUCAAUUUGUUCCUCUCUUUGCUCUAGUAUUUUGUUUUCCCCCACCUUUCAAGAAAUUCAAUACUGACCUGAUCCAGAGGUAAUUGUACAAUGAGCUCUAAAUCUUCAGACCAAUGUUUGGGAAUUUGGCUCGUCCAAGCUUUUAUAAAAAGUAAUGGAAGUAGAACCUCAAAUGAUACACAAGGCAUUUGAGGCCUCCCCUCCUGUCUUUAAAUCAGUUAUAACUAGUGCUUAGGUAAGGCUCUGAACAGCAGAAGUUUCAAAACAAUGGGUCAUUUAAUUUCCAGUGUGUAUGUUCUGUGAUAUGAAACCCUAACAUUUAAAAAGUUACCAUGUAUUAUAACAUACAACUCAGCUUUUUUUUUUUUUUUUUUUUUUUUUUUAAUGUUUAAAACAUUCCCCACAUUCCAGAGUGCUAAUUUGAGGCCAAAUGCCUGGAAAAUGUCUCCUUUAACUCCUUCACUGACACAAGCCCUUUGGAUAUUACUGUUGUCCUUCACUGCAACAUUUUGAUCAGUACAUCAGAAACUUUAGGAUGUAAUAAGGUCUUUAAAACUGAAAGAGGUGGGAUGAGGAAAGAUAAGAAAGAGCUGUGCGCAGAUUUUCAAUCCCUUUCCCAAGGGCGCAUGGCCGGUCCACUGCUGCUGGGCAAGGCAGACUAGAAGUGGAAGGGAGGUGGUUUUGACAGGCAGACCCUAUUUAGUGGAAUUCCUGUGAAACCAGCAGUAAGAGCCCUGAGAGCCCAAAGGUGUAGCAGCAGCCAACAGGAUAAAGACCACAGUUGAGAAGCACCUUCCUAAGUAAUUGAUUUGAAGUUAUGUUAGAUUUCCUGACUUUUCAAAGUUUAAUGACAUUACCCUUCCUUUUUAAGCAGCAUUGUAACGUUGUAAUAGAGAAGUCAUUUGCAAGAAUUUUCCAUUUUAUGAUGCUCAAGAGGAGAGGAAAAGUAAAGUACUCAGGGAAAUUUGCUUUUGAAAGUCAAUGAACUCUUCUAGAAGACUGCUCCCUUAGUUCAUUUCAGCAACUUGUUAUUUGAAAACUAUGUUAUAUUUUUGGAGGGGUAGUAUUGCCUUUUUUUUUUUUUUUUUGGUCGUUUAUUGAGAGAAAUUUAAGUGUGCAAACAUAAUUGCCCCUUUUCUUCUCUCAUCCCAAAGUAGAUGUUUCUUCAUACUAUAAAGGAAAUCACUAAAUACUCAAAACAGUUCGAAUAGCUUCUUGCAAUCCCCCAUAUAAACUCCAUGGUGCUGGCUUGCCGUCGUCAGCCUAGGGUAAAUAAUACUUAAAUGAGUAUCCACUUUCUCAGCCAAGAGGACUAUUGCUCUACCAGAAUCUCCUUCCGAUUUGACUUAAUUAUGCUCUAAGAAGCUAUCAGCAAUGUUAAGUGUGCUGUAAAAUUGGAAUUGUAUUGUACUUUGUGUUCAUUAGUAUUCCUCCUUUGCUUUCUGAGAAGCUUUAGAAAGAUUUCACACUCUCGUGGUUUAAAGAAAUACUUCAGUACAGCUUCUGGAAUAAUCCUGAAGCCAGGAGUGUGCUAGGACUCUGCCCCUCUCCCCAGCGGCGGCAGUAUUCUAACUUGUUUCCAAAGAGUUCUCCAAUAAUGUCUCCUACUGUUCAGCCAUUCUCAUAUAUUUCACCCCAUACACUGCUCUAACCAUCCAAAAACAUCAUGUCCCCAGAGAUAGGCUUUUGAAAAAAACAGAAACUAGAAAAUCUUGAGUGUAUAAAUCAUAUCACUGGGGAAAAAAAAAAAAUCACGGAUUGAUGAAAAUGAGGUGGGGUUUCCAAGGCAAAGACAGGUUAGAAAGCCCAAAAGAGAAUGAAUGUUUAUUCAUAAAUGCAGAAGAAAUUAAUUGAAACAAUUUAGUGGCCAUUUAAAAAACAAUGGUAUCCAUCACAGGAACUACAAUUAUCUCUCAAAGUGGAUGCAUUAGCCAGCACUAAAUGUUGAGUACUCUUCUGCAGGGACCAGCUUUAGUCAAUUAAAAAUGAUCAUAUUUCUGGGUCUAAUAAUGUACUCUUUAGGGGGAAAGUUCAUCCAUCCACAUGGCAACAUAUCCAUCUCACUUUGGACAGAAGUUUUUGGGGUUUUGUUUUUGCAAAAUUCCAUAAUCUGAUUGGUUGACAUCAACAGGGGAAAGAGAUUUAAGAGCUUGAUACAACCAAACUUAAAUGUUCUACUGAUUCUUAAAACCAGAAAUACAUUCCUUGAAGUCAGGGCUGCGGAACCACAAGCCUGCCGCUCACUCCACACAUUAGGAUUUCCCCCUGUGGGUCUGGUGCUGCUCAAUCCAUCUCUUGUUUGUUUGAUAUCAGGGAGUAGUGACAGACCAUUCUGGGAUUUAAAUUAAUCGUGUGCUUUUUAGUUAAUGCCCAAGUGCUUGUGGAUUACAACAUGUUCUAUGCAUCCUGCAUCUUAAACCUACAUUUUAAAAUGAAAUAUGGAAGGAAAACACAAAAAAUGUUUAACUAAAUAUGUAUAUAUAUAUAUUUGUAUUUUGGGGGGUUUUUUAGGGCUGCAGCUGUGGCAUAUGGAGGUUCCCAGGCUAGGGGUCCAUUCGGAGCUCUGGCCACCAGUCUACAUCACAGCCACAGCACUGCGGGAUCCCAGCCACAUCUGCAACCUACACCACAGUUCACAGCAACGCCAGAUCCUUAACCCACUGAGCAAGGUCAGGGAUCACACCUGCUUCCUCGUGUGUACUAGUUGGGUUUGUUAACUGCUGAGCCAUGAUGGGAACUCCUAAAAAAUAUUUUGAACAGGAGUUCCCAUUGUGGCACAGUGGUUAACGAAUCCGACUAGGAACCAUGAGGUUUCAGGUUCGAUCCCUGGCCUUGCUCAGUGGGUUAAGGAUCCAGUGUUGCUGUGAGCUGUGGUGUAGGUCGCAGACGCGGCUCGGAUCCCACAUUGCUGUGGCUGUGGCAUAGGCCGGCGGCUACAGCUCCAAUUAGACCCCUACCCUGGGAACCUCCAUAUGCCACGGAAGCAGCCCAAGAAAUGGCAAAAAGACCAAAAAAAAAAAAAAAAAAAAAA